rnacentral:rRNA from 1 species
CCUACGGGGGGCAGCAGUGGGGGAUAUUGCACAAUGGGGGAAACCCUGAUGCAGCGACGCCGCGUGAGUGAAGAAGUAUUUCGGUAUGUAAAGCUCUAUCAGCAGGGAAGAAAAUGAAAGUACCUGACCAAGAAGCCCCGGCUAACUACGUGCCAGCGGCCGCGGUAAUACGGAGGGGGCAAGCGUUAUCCGGAUUUACUGGGUGUUAAGGGGGCGUAGGCGGUUAUGUAAGUCUGGAGUGAAAGCCCGGGGCCCAACCCCGGGAUGGCUGGGGAAACUGUGUGACUGGAGUACAGGAGGGGUAGGCGGAAUGCCUGGUGUAGCGGUGAAAUGCGUAGAUAUCAGGAGGAACUCCGACGGCGAAGGCAGCCUGCUGGACUGAAACUGACGUUGAGGCUCGAAAGCGUGGGGAGCAAACAGGAUUAGAUACCCGAGUAGUC